UACGGGGGGGGCAAGCGUUGUUCGGAAUUACUGGGCGUAAAGGGCUCGUAGGCGGCCAACUAAGUCAGACGUGAAAUCCCUCGGCUUAACCGGGGAACUGCGUCUGAUACUGGAUGGCUAGAGGUUGGGAGAGGGAUGCGGAAUUCCAGGUGUAGCGGUGAAAUGCGUAGAUAUCUGGAGGAACACCGGUGGCGAAGGCGGCAUCCUGGACCAAUUCUGACGCUGAGGAGCGAAAGCCAGGGGAGCAAAGCGGG
rnacentral:rRNA from 1 species